rnacentral:rRNA from 1 species
CAGUCGCCGCGGUAAUACGAAGGGGGCUAGCGUUGUUCGGAUUUACUGGGCGUAAAGCGCACGUAGGCGGACUUUUAAGUCAGGGGUGAAAUCCCGGGGCUCAACCCCGGAACUGCCUUUGAUACUGGAAGUCUUGAGUAUGGUAGAGGUGAGUGGAAUUCCGAGUGUAGAGGUGAAAUUCGUAGAUAUUCGGAGGAACACCAGUGGCGAAUGCGGCUCACUGGACCAUUACUGACGCUGAGGUGCGAAAGCGUGGGGAGCAAACAGGAUUAGAUACCCCAGUAGUCCCUGUCUCUUAUAC